rnacentral:misc_RNA from 1 species
AAUUCUCAAACUUUGCUUACUUUUUUGGUUAGCAAAUGGCUUGGAUGUGGGGGUAUGCAGGUUUCUGUAAUGAAAUUAGCUCCCCUGAAAUACAUUAGCUGGUUGCCUUGUGUGAACCUGUCUAUUGGUGUGAUAAUUAUCUACGCCGUGGACUAUUCGCCGUUUUUAGCACUGCUUAUACCCGUCUGUUCAUUCGGACAAUAUAUGACA